rfam:Schistosoma curassoni strain Dakar, Senegal genome assembly, scaffold: SCTD_scaffold0000673
AUCCAGCUGAAGAGUCUAAAACAGGGCGAAACGCGCAUCGUAGAU